rnacentral:rRNA from 1 species
GAUGAACGCUGGCGGCGUGCCUAAUACAUGCGAGUCGAGCGAACAGACGAGGAGCUUGCUCCUCUGACGUUAGCGGCGGACGGGUGAGUAACACGUGGAUAACCUACCUAUAAGACUGGGAUAACUUCGGGAAACCGGAGCUAAUACCGGAUAAUAUAUUGAACCGCAUGGUUCAAUAGUGAAAGACGGUUUUGCUGUCACUUAUAGAUGGAUCCGCGCCGCAUUAGCUAGUUGGUAAGGUAACGGCUUACCAAGGCAACGAUGCGUAGCCGACCUGAGAGGGUGAUCGGCCACACUGGAACUGAGACACGGUCCAGACUCCUACGGGAGGCAGCAGUAGGGAAUCUUCCGCAAUGGGCGAAAGCCUGACGGAGCAACGCCGCGUGAGUGAUGAAGGUCUUCGGGUCGUAAAACUCUGUUAUUAGGGAAGAACAAAUGUGUAAGUAACUAUGCACGUCUUGACGGUACCUAAUCAGAAAGCCACGGCUAACUACGUG